GCUUCUCACCAGGCCAGAGGGCGGGGGCUGGGCAGUACUAAGAGCUGCCCAGGAAGCCUGGGCCACUAUUGGGAGCAGGGCCGGCUCCAGACACCAGGCACCCAAGCACAUGCUUGGGGCGGUACCUGCAACGUGGAGAAGCCCGGAAUGGUGAAACUGUCUACAUUACAUGGUGUAUGUGCUAUAACUGCACCUACCUUGGAGACUGUGCUUCAGCCAUCCACAUCAGAUCCAUAUUACAAGCAAGCACGGGUAUAUGUGGGUAACUGGCUUGAUGAUGUGGCUUUCCAGGACAGCCACCCGUCAGCAGAACAUCUAUUAUCAGUUGAAGAUUAGUCUCCCAUCUGACUGGUUCGCCAAACAAAACAACAGCUGCAAGAACAAGAAAACAUUUGUGAAAUAUUAAAAAUGAAAGAUGGAGGUGAGAAGAGGAAGGAAUGCCUCUUGCCACAACUUUGCAAAUGACUCUGCUGACCAGUGUAGGAGCAGGAUUGAUUGACUCUGAUGGGAUUCCAGUUCAGCCCUCCUUUCCAGAAACAAGGAAGCACAAUCUGCUAGAGGAAGGCAAAAAGGAAAACAAGCCCCUUAUCAUCCUUCUAAUCACCCCUAAGAGGCCCAUGGAUGAAAACUGCACAUUCACACUGUGACAUUCUGUGCCUUGGGAGAGCACCCUGUAACCCCCCCAUAUUCCUCAUCUGUAAAUAAUUGUGAUACUAAAUAUAAAGCAUGCCUUGUAAGGUAUCAGGGGAAAGAUUAUGACCUGUU